GGAGAGAUGGCUGAGUGGUCUAAAGCGAUAGAUUGCUAAUCUAUUGUACAUAACAUUGUGUACCAAGGGUUCAAAUCCCUUUCUCUCCU
rnacentral:tRNA from 1 species